UACAGAGACUGCAAGCGUUAUUCGGAUUCACUGGGCGUAAAGGGUGCGCAGGCGGUUGAGUGUGUCAGAUGUGAAAUCCCGAGGCUCAACCUCGGAACUGCGUCUGAAACUACUCGACUAGAGUACUGGAGAGGGUAACGGAAUUCACGGUGUAGCAGUGAAAUGCGUAGAUAUCGUGAGGAACACCAGAGGCGAAGGCGGUUACCUGGACAGUUACUGACGCUCAGGCACGAAAGCAUGGGGAGCAAAAGGG
rnacentral:rRNA from 1 species